rnacentral:rRNA from 1 species
AUGAACGCUGGCGGCGUGCCUAAUACCUGCAAGUCGAGCGAACGGACGAGAAGCUUGCUUCUCUGAUGUUAGCGGCGGACGGGUGAGUAACACGUGGAUAACCUACCUACAAGACUGGGAUAACUUCGGGAAACCGGAGCUAAUACCGGAUAAUAUUUUGAACCGCAUGGUUCAAAAGUGAAAGACGGUCUUGCUGUCACUUAUAGAUGGAUCCGCGCUGCAUUAGCUAGUUGGUAAGGUAACGGCUUACCAAGGCAACGAUGCAUAGCCGACCUGAGAGGGUGAUCGGCCACACUGGAACUGAGACACGGUCCAGACUCCUACGGGAGGCAGCAGUAGGGAAUCUUCCGCAAUGGGCGAAAGCCUGACGGAGCAACGCCGCGUGAGUGAUGAAGGUCUUCGGAUCGUAAAACUCUGUUAUUAGGGAAGAACAUAUGUGUAAGUAACUGUGCACAUCUUGACGGUACCUAAUCAGAAAGCCACGGCUAACUACGUG